GAUGAAGAACGUAGCGAACUGCGAUAAGUUAUGUGAAUUGCAGAAUUCAGUGAAUCAUCGAGUCUUUGAACGCACAUUGCGCCCCCUGGCAUUCCGGGGGGCAUGCCUGUCCGAGCGUCAUUGCUGCCCUUCAAGCCCGGCUUGUGUGUUGGGUCGUCGUCCCCCCCGGGGGACGGGCCCGAAAGGCAGCGGCGGCACCGCGUCCGGUCCUCGAGCGUAUGGGGCUUUGUCACCCGCUCGAUUAGGGCCGGCCGGGCGCCAGCCGGCGUCUCCAACCUUCUAUUUUACCAGGUUGACCUCGGAUCAGGUAGGGAUACCCGCUGAACUUAAGCAUAUCAAUAAGCGGAGGA
rnacentral:misc_RNA from 1 species